ensembl:lncRNA
CCAAGAACAUUUAAUCUCAGUGUUGCAUUUUGUCCGUCUUGGGCUCCAGCAGACGCGAAUGGUAUCCAUCUCCAGUUUGCUAUUAAUCCCAGAUUAUAAUCUCGGGAAAUAAGCACCGUGACAGUAUAAUUAGAUCUAAAAAUGAACAGCAUUGCUAAUUGGAAACAGACAGAGCACAGUUUCAUAGUUCAUGAAACAGGCACAGCACACACAGAACUUCAGGAUAAUAAUAAUAAUAAUAAUGGAAAAAUAAUAAUGAUAAUAAUCAUCAUCGUCAUCACUGUGUUUAUUUAUAUAGCACCUUUCAUACAACGAGCAGUUCAAAGUGACAAUUAUACAAAAUAGCUAAAGGAUAAAUGGCAAUCGAUAUACCAUUUAAUACAAGAAAAGAUUUAAUAUAACAUUAUAUGAUGAAUAAAUAUCCAAUAAACUAAAUAAAACUAAAAAGAUGAAAAUAGGGAAGGGGGAGAGAGAAGGCUGGAAAGAUUAAAAAAACAAACAAAAAAAACAAUGAGACUAGACUUAAAACUGAAGAUUAAGCCUAAAAAAGUGAUCAUACUUUGAAUACCUGGAACCAUUUCUAACUCACUUCCGCCACCUAGUGGUGCAAUGUAAUAACACAGCGAUAGAGGUAAUGGAUCCAAGCGACUGGACUGGUCUUGUGAUGAUGAAUACAUGUUGCUGAUCAUCUGAGGGCCUUUACUGGAUCUUCUAGACUAAGUGUGUCCAAAGAAAGCAGUAUAAAGUCAUUGGCAAGACGAUAUCUGUAGCAAUUAUAAAGAAAUAAACCAUAUGAUUGAUGCCUGCGUUUCUAACUGAACCAUCUAUAGCAGGGCUGUCCAAACCCGGUCCGGAAGUUGAAGUCUUCAACUUGUCUCCACACCUGCCUGGAAGUUUCUGGUAUGCUUAGCAAGACCCUGACUAGCCGUUUCAGAUUUAAUUGUGGUUAGGAGUUAAACUGUGCAGGACAUAUAUAAUAAAUACAUAUCUGUAAUCAUGGACGUAUUCCGGUUGUAUAAGAGGAAUCAAGCGCUUCCGUGUGUGCCGUCGGUUGAAAACGAUCGGCUUCGGGGUGGUACGAGUCACCGGGCUUCAUCGCAACACACGGGUGUCGAUUAUUUUCCUACAACAGCGGCCCCCAAAGUUUUUUAUUCUUUAAGGACAUGUUUAUUCCAGAACACAGAACUUGAAAGUGGUUGCACAAUGAAAAGUACUCUCUCACUCAUAACCUCAAAACAUAUUUUAAUCUCAAAUACUGAUUACCGAUUUAGUUACAAUAAAAAGCCAGAUGUUAUACAGGUGCGCUCUACUAUCGUUGCAAAAGUCUUUAUAUAGUUGUGUUUUUUUUUACGUGUAGAUCAAAAUUUAAAAAAUGAGUGUUUUUCCACAAUGACAUCGAAAACAAAGCAAAGUUAUUGCGUGUGAGACUGAGUAACGAUGAAUAAUUGCUACUCCGAGGGUGAAGAAUAAAAGAUUGUCCGAUUAGUUGCAUAGUGAAGGAGAGGAAAAGUGCACCCGGUGCUCCGACUGCAACGGUUAUAUCCACACACACACACACACACGGUAAAUAACAUCAAAGCUAGCUACUCAAGCACGUGCCUUUCUUAUUUUCCUCACACAAACAUUUAUUUAAUACAUUUCCUUUAUUAAACAUAAAACACUACACAACACAAAUCCCUUAUAUCCUCUCAGGGGACGUUAGGAAAUCUUCCUUUUACUUUUAUUUUCCAGUAUAAAGUGAAAGGAAAACAAAAACGAGUGUCCCUUACAGGUCAAUUAAAGAGACAAGCCUGCUCCUUGUCCUGGUUUAUUUUCCUAUAGUCUGAAAUACUUUCUGAAACGUGCAGCUCACCGAAGCUGGAUUUUUAUCGGAGGGAAAAUCUGACGCGACGCAGGGGGUCCAAGCACCUGAAGUGGCAUGAAACAUGGUGGCGUUAGCAUGUGAUGAGUGAUAUCCCGACGUCCCCCAGCCCGUCCCUCCAAUUCAGGUUGGUCCACCCGUGAGUGCAAGCAGAUUGUGCGUCCUGGCUAUUAUUUACUUACUUAUUUGUUUAUUUAUUUUCAUUCGCGAGCCGGCUGACGGUAAAACGCCUUUCUUUUUUUGUUGUUAAACCAUUUGCACGUGCAGAUGACAGACAGACUGUGGCGUUUAAUUACUGUGCGCUUCACAAACCUCCCAAACAUGAGCCUGACGCGGCACACGGGUCCAAGCAUCUGAAGUGGAGUGAAACACGGUGGCGUUAGUACGUGACGUUAGUGGGAUCGAUAUCACAGGCUUCUGCCUCCUGUUCAGAAUCAUCUACUUUACAACACUCGGGGACGGACAAGCACCGGUCAUCGUCAAUCUGUUUCAGAAAACAUUACUCACACUCACACUCACACACACACACACACACACACACACACAGACUCCAGAUCAGCUGUGUGAAACUCAGGCUAGAAAUAAAUUCUGUAGAUUGAAGUCCAAGAACAGGUCUGAUUCAACAGAUCACUGGUUCAAACGGAUUUAAAGGAGCUGUUUGCAAUUUGUAGUGCCCUCUGCUGCCUGUGAGGUGAAUCUCAGAAUCUUGUCCUCUCUUUAACAAAGACCAACCCUUGUUUAUUUAAAAAAAAAUAAAAUAAUAAUAAUAAAAAUUCCACGUAUUCCUCGUGACUUGUCUCAUGAACUGGGGGCGGAGCUAAUUUCUGGGUCUGAAAAAUGUAAACAAAAUCCCAAAAGCGCAAACCUCACCUUUAAAUUCCAUGAUGAGCGGUGAAACAAACCUCUCCACUAUUAAAACACAAUGAAUAAAACAGAGUUAAAAAACAAAACAAAACAAAAAAACAACAAAACAAACGAAAUACAAUACUAAU